CUGAGGAUGGAAGAUUUCUUCCUCCCCUGGCAACAGCCUAGCCAAUGGGAGACAGUUACAGCUCCACCAAUGAGAAGCCACUAUACUUAGAACUCCCAGCUUACUCCAAUGGACUUUUUGCUUAUAAUUGUCCUGCCUAACUCCCCCGUUCCCCUGUGAAAGAGUGUUCCUCUUUUAUGCUCUGGUGUAGUUUGCUUUUCCUGGAUCUUUAUUCUCUGUUGCUCUUGUAGAAGCCGGUAAAAUAACUGGCAGUUUUAUUUUUAAAGUUAACAUUACUUAGCGAUCAGAGGUAGGAUGCAGAGAAAAGCCCCAAAAGAUUCGGGGCUAGUGAGUAAACAGGUGCUGCUACCCACAGAGCUGAUGGGACUCACUGCCUUCUUUCUGGCCUUGGGGGUUAGACGGAACUCUGGAACACAGAAACGACUGUUGACACCUGAUUUCCCUUUGGCAGAUGACCAGAUAGAAUCAGCAUUAACAACGUGCAGAAAAUGCCAAACGCGGGUUAUCUCAGCUGUAAAGGGGAAUAAUAAGAAUGCCUUCCACCUGAGUUGUCGUGAAGAUGUAGUGAGAAUACACACAGGAUGCUUGGACCAGCAUCUACUUUGUAGUAGCACUCAAGAUGCUGGUGAGGAAUCAACUAGGAUUGUUACCACUGAGAACUUGCACGGCAGUAACCAUCAUUCACUCCAGUGACACAUGGUGUGUCUCUUGUGCUUUUUGAAGCAGGACAGCUGGAUAUAAGCAAUCAGCCUUAAUGUCAUCCUCUGCAAAGUGAUGGUGACAGAAGGACCUACCUUCCAGGUGUCUUAGAAGAAGGAACUGCAUAACAUGCUUGCCACAGUGCUUGGCACAUACGCUAACCCUGCAGAAGUGAAAAUACUGUAAAUGUGAAAAAGCCCUGCAUCUCUCAGUGGUGUCUGGACAACCCUGGCAACUCAGAACAUGAAGGAGAGAACAAGAAAUCCCUGUGCUUUUCCUUUUCUUCCUUUCCAAACACGUGUGCAGACUUCCCCUGCAUUUCAGCCCCACCCUCUUUAUUUUACUGCCUAAUCUAUAAAGGAGGAUUAACAGCAGCACGCUGCUUUGGCACAGAGCAGAUUCUGGGUGAGGACCUGUAGGUAGAGUCUAAUGAAUACAAUUUUCUGGGACGGUGAGUGCAUAUUUUUAGCUACAUGCUGGGCUCCAGCGUUGGCUCUUGAGACAGAUGAACAGAUCCUUUGAUCAGACUUGGGUGUUGCUCCAAAAAGAACCUUUUGCAGGAAGUAGUUGGGGGAAAAUGUCUUCUGUUUCCCUUAUUCCUAAUUUGUACUGUAUAGAUUCAGAUUCCAGAUAACUGGUCCCAGUAAGUUGCAUUACAACACUGAGAUACACCAUUGUGAGGUGUAGUGGUCCUGGGCGCCAGUGCCCAGAUCCACUUUCUGGCAAAAUGGGAUGGCUGGUACCUCAAGUGUGUGGUUGCCAUCCUUCCCCCCUUGGAGAGUAAGCUAGAGGUAGUUAACCCUCCUGGGGGAGGCUUGGCCUAGACAACAUCAUAGACACCAUAUCCCCCCUGGAGUUACCAAACAAUAAAACUGCUUUCUUUGCCAAAUACAAAGAAUGGUCUGGAGUUGGAUAUUAGCAAACAGCAAACCCUGUAAAGAAGAAAGGGAGGGAAGGAGGGAGGGAGAAGAAACAAAGGAGAAUAGAAGGGAGGAUGGAGGAAAAGAAGGAAAAUUGCAUGAAAAGAAGGCAGAAAACAAGGUCUUUUCUGCUUUCGUUUGCCAGGGACAAGGCAGCCAUCCAAUCUUGUCUUGAUUUUAGUGCCAUGGUGAGGAUGGGGCAGCGGAGACGGGGUUUUGAUGCAAUGCCAAGCGGGGCAGGGAUGAGGCGCCAGGUCUGUGGAAAUGCUGAGACUUUAAGACCUUGGCACUGGGAGAGUGUGAGCAAGAUGGUAAGUGAUUUGAUCUCUCACAUUCCUACUCAGGACCCUCUCCUUCUCUUUCUAAUAGGAUUAACAGAUAUUUUCCUAAGCAGAAAUCAAAAUGUGUCAAAUCAUCUGAGACAGUCAAUUUGUUCACAAUGCCCACAUUCUUGCCGUACGGAUGCAGCACUAUUCAAAAACAGUUUUAUUUCAAGAGAUACAAUGCAGCAGAGAGGUAAACAUUUAUCUUCAUAAUCUUACACUCCUUUCAGACUGUUUAAUUUUUCCCCGUGAUUUUCCCCUCCUCUUUCACUCCACCCCCAAGCUCAGCUUCAAAACAUUUAGUACAAAAAAGACAUGACUUCCCCAGAGGAUUCGGGUCUCAGUGAUCCUGAUGAUGCAACGUGUGCUCUCCAUUAUCCCUGGGAGCUCCCCAGAUCUGUUCCCGCACCCUGCCUCACUGCUUCUGUUGUCCCUGGGUCUGUGUCACUUACAAAUCCGCUUCAAGCACCUGUGCAGGUUACCUCCGCCUCUUCCUCCUACCUCAUUCCCAGUUAGCAGGACUCCUUCCCCACUCCACCCCACCCCCACUCCUUUUUCUCUUACUGCUGUUUUUGCUACUAUCAUUGUCCCCACCAGCACAGCCCUCUGCAGCUUCUCCUGAAGGAGACAUUAAGUUGCCUUCCUUUGUGCUACCUUAAAACUCCAGCUGCCUUUGAACACAAGGACCAGUGUCACCUUUGGAACAAUGAAUGAAAGUAGUUGGAUCGGGAUUCCAACUUCACAUUGUUGGCAUUCCUGAAAAUCUCAUGCAUUUUCAUUCCUCCCCCCCUCCUUCUCCUUGAGACCCCCUAAGAUAGCUGCAAUUAGAAGCUCCGAAAUGAAUAGAAACAAUAGCUACUGGUAUAUUUUAUUCGCAGGGUGUGAAUAAUAGACAUUUAGCGGGCGGAAUAAAGUCUCAUUUUUUCCCCUUUCUGUUACCAUUUGUAUAUUCAGUACACAUGUAUAGGUAGUAUUUUUUUUCUUUUUUAAGUGGAUUGCUGACAGCGUUUUCUGCAAUAACAUAUUUUCCAUUGAUGUAUUUUAGGUGUCUGUUUAACCAUAAUGCUCUUUGUGAUCAUGGUGCCAAAAUAUAAUGAAUUGGCCCAUUCUACCUAGAAAGGCCUCUCCACCAGUUUCUCCUGCCCCCUGUUAAAAUCCUCUUCCUCCUACAGGAUCCAGCUCACACCAUAUCUCCUCCGGGAAAUAGUCCCAGAUCCUCCCAGGAGAUUUCUUCUCCGUCCCUCUCGCCACUUCCCAUUUCAGGUCUUCUGCCUCUGCUCCGAUCCGAGUUCACGUUAUACUCCAGCUAGUGUUAGUGCCUGUCUGCAAAAUUAGGCUAUGGGGCUUGGAGGACAAAGAUGUCCUCCUUUCUGGACUCCUGCCGCUCCUAGAAGAGUGUCUGGCACAGUAGAAGGGAGCCAUCACCUGAGGAUGAUGAACGGUGGAUGACCGCCAAGCCUUCCCAGCCCGACAGAAGCCCACCCAUUCCUGUCGGGGGUACUUCUGGAGGUGGGGAAAUCAAGCCACUCCUGGCCCACUUCUCCCACCCCAUUUCCACUUGUAUUUGACAAUGAUUCUGAGACUUCCUCACAUUAGAAUUUUUAAUAUUUUUUCAUCUAAGUGCUCAUCUUUAGUAAAUACAUAACUAGAUGGAUUGUGAAGUGAGGGAAUUAAAAAGUGCUAUCUUAUAUCUGAACAAAUAAAUCAUUUAUAUUAGCUCUUCUCCUUCUAGGCUGGUUUGGAAUUGGCAACAAAUACCGAGGCAUCAGUACUCGUUGACAUCCGGCAUUCAUUUAUUUAUUUAUUUUUUUAAGUGCUCUGACAAGUUGUUUACCGUGAGCCAAAUGUCAAUUAGUGCUGGCCUGAAAAGGAGUUCCUGUGCUACAUCUGUUUGUAGUUAGUCCUGGAGUCAUCCUGAUUAUUUUGGCUUUUAUUUGAAUGAGGUAUUUAUCUUCCAAGACUCACCACCACCACCACCACCACAAAAUCCCACUUAGUAUUUUAACAUUUGCUUAAAACCAUACUUUGCUGGCAACCCUAUCAUUUCAGUGUUGAAUUUUUUCUCCUGAUAAGGCAAAUGACACUUUAGCCUUAGUUAAUGUAAAACAGGAAGGUGUUAAUCUCAUUUUCAACAUGUCAGCUCUUCCAGGUAGAGUAUUAAUACGCAAGAUCUCCUGCUGGCAGACUCAACAGAAUCUUUCUGGCCGUGAAGUGAAGUCCAAACCUGUAAAAGUGUACCCCCAGAAGAAGAGGAUGACAAAAGGCAGAAGGUGGACAGGAAAAGCCUGUUUCACUUUCUGUGGUUUCACUUACCCGUAGUGAACCACAAGUAGGCUGGAAGCGGAUGAUCCUCCUUGUGACAAAUCAGUGGAAGGUCAAAAACAGCCUAACUUUACGGUCGCAGUGCCUACGUCACUCAUCUCACGUCAUCUCAUCUGUCAGCAUUCUGUCAUCUCACAUCAUCACAAGGAGGGUAAGUACAAUAAGGUAUUCCGAGAAAGGGAGAGAGAAAGAGACCACGUUCAAAUCACUUCUACUAGAGUACGUUAUAAUUGUUCAAUUAUACUUUUAGUUAUUGCUCUUAAUCUCUUACUGUGUCUAAUUUAUAAAUUAAAUUUUGUCAUAGGUAUGUAUGUAUAGGAAGAAACAUAGUAUCUGUAGGGUCCCAUACUAUCCAUGCUUUCAGGAAUCUGCUGGGGGUCUUGGAUCAAAUCCCUGCUGACAAGAGGGACUACUUUGCAACUUUAAUUAAAAAUUUUAAGCUUCACAGGUUAGCAGGU